AGUGAACGCUGGCGGUAGGCCUAACGCAUGCAAGUCGAACGGCAGCACAGUAAGAGCUUGCUCUUACGGGUGGCGAGUGGCGGACGGGUGAGGAAUACAUCGGAAUCUACUUUUUCGUGGGGGAUAACGUAGGGAAACUUACGCUAAUACCGCAUACGACCUACGGGUGAAAGCAGGGGAUCUUCGGACCUUGCGCGAUUGAAUGAGCCGAUGUCGGAUUAGCUAGUUGGCGGGGUAAGGGCCCACCAAGGCGACGAUCCGUAGCUGGUCUGAGAGGAUGAUCAGCCACACUGGAACUGAGACACGGUCCAGACUCCUACGGGAGGCAGCAGUGGGGAAUAUUGGACAAUGGGCGCAAGCCUGAUCCAGCCAUACCGCGUGGGUGAAGAAGGCCUUCGGGUUGUAAAGCCCUUUUGUUGGGAAAGAAAAGCAGCAGGUUAAUACCCCGCUGUUCUGACGGUACCCAAAGAAUAAGCACCGGCUAACUUCGUG
rnacentral:rRNA from 1 species